rnacentral:rRNA from 1 species
CCUACGGGAGGCAGCAGUAGGGAAUUUUCGGCAAUGGGGGGAACCCUGACCGAGCAACGCCGCGUGAAGGAAGAAGGAAUUCGUUCUGUAAACUUCUGUUAUAAAGGAAGAAAGACGGCUGGAGGAAAUGACAUCCGAGUGACGGUACCUUAUGAGAAAGCCACGGCUAACUACGUGCCAGCAGCCGCGGUAAUACGUAGGUGGCAAGCGUUAUCCGGAAUUAUUGGGCGAAAAGAGGGGGCAGGCGGCAGCAAAGGUCUGUGGUAAAAGCCUGAAGCUAAACUGUAGUAAGCCAUAGAAACCGGGAAACUAGAGUGCAGGAGAGGAUAGUGGAAUUCCAUGUGUAGCGGUGAAAUGCGUAGAUAUAUGGAGGAACACCAGUGGCGAAGGCGACGAUCUGGCCUGCAACUGACGCUCAGGCCCGAAAGCGUGGGGAGCAAACAGGAUUAGAUACCCCGGUAGUC